GAUGAAGAACGCAGCGAAAUGCGAUAAGUAAUGUGAAUUGCAGAAUUCAGUGAAUCAUCGAAUCUUUGAACGCACAUUGCGCCCGCCAGUAUUCUGGCGGGCAUGCCUGUUCGAGCGUCAUUUCAACCAUCAAGCCCCCGGCUUGUGUUGGGGACCUGCGGCUGCCGCAGGCCCUGAAAAGCAGUGGCGGGCUCGCUGUCACACCGAGCGUAGUAGAUUUCAUCUCGCUCAGGGCGUGCUGCGGGUUCCGGCCGUUAAACCACCUUCAUAACCCAAGGUUGACCUCGGAUCAGGUAGGAAGACCCGCUGAACUUAAGCAUAUCAAUAAGCGGGGA
rnacentral:misc_RNA from 1 species